rnacentral:rRNA from 1 species
UACGGGGGGGGCAAGCGUUGUUCGGAAUUACUGGGCGUAAAGCGCGCGUAGGCGGCUUUUCAAGUCAGACGUGAAAGCCCCAGGCUUAACCUGGGAACUGCGUUUGAUACUGUUAAGCUAGAGUGUGGAAGGGGCUACUGGAAUUCCGUGUGUAGCGGUGAAAUGCGUAGAUAUACGGAGGAACACCUGCGGCGAAGGCGGGUUGCUGGGCCGACACUGACGCUGAUGCGCGAAAGCCAGGGGAGCGAACGGG